GAUGAACGCUGGCGGCGUGCCUAAUACAUGCAAGUCGAGCGAACAGACGAGGAGCUUGCUCCUCUGAUGUUAGCGGCGGACGGGUGAGUAACACGUGGAUAACCUACCUAUAAGACUGGGAUAACUUCGGGAAACCGGAGCUAAUACCGGAUAACAUGUUGAACCGCAUGGUUCAACAGUGAAAGACGGUCUUGCUGUCACUUAUAGAUGGAUCCGCGCCGCAUUAGCUAGUUGGUAAGGUAACAGCUUACCAAGGCAACGAUGCGUAGCCGACCUGAGAGGGUGAUCGGCCACACUGGAACUGAGACACGGUCCAGACUCCUACGGGAGGCAGCAGUAGGGAAUCUUCCGCAAUGGGCGAAAGCCUGACGGAGCAACGCCGCGUGAGUGAAGAAGGUCUUCGGAUCGUAAAACUCUGUUAUUAGGGAAGAACAAAUGUGUAAGUAACUAUGCACGUCUUGACGGUACCUAAUCAGAAAGCCACGGCUAACUACGUG
rnacentral:rRNA from 1 species